rnacentral:rRNA from 1 species
ACUCCUACGGGAGGCAGCAGUAGGGAAUCUUCCACAAUGGGCGCAAGCCUGAUGGAGCAACACCGCGUGAGUGAAGAAGGGUUUCGGCUCGUAAAGCUCUGUUGUUAAAGAAGAACACGUAUGAGAGUAACUGUUCAUACGUUGACGGUAUUUAACCAGAAAGUCACGGCUAACUACGUGCCAGCAGCCGCGGUAAUACGUAGGUGGCAAGCGUUAUCCGGAUUUAUUGGGCGUAAAGAGAGUGCAGGCGGUUUUCUAAGUCUGAUGUGAAAGCCUUCGGCUUAACCGGAGAAGUGCAUCGGAAACUGGAUAACUUGAGUGCAGAAGAGGGUAGUGGAACUCCAUGUGCAGCGGUGGAAUGCGUAGAUAUAUGGAAGAACACCAGUGGCGAAGGCGGCUACCUGGUCUGCAACUGACGCUGAGACUCGAAAGCAUGGGUAGCGAACAGGAUUAGAUACCCUGGUAGGAUAGCG